AAGCAGUAGUGAGAUGGAAAGAUCCAAGAGGCCUUUUCACCCUCAUGUUUAUCACUGACUUGAUCUUUCUGGUACACAUUCCUUAUUGAAACAGAAGAAUUCAGCCCAGCUGAAAAAAAUGAAAAACAAUACUACAAAAAGCAACAAAACAAAGGCCUUGGUCAAGCUAUGAAGUCAUGGAACUCCACAUUUAUCUGUAUAUUUGGACAGUGUACAAACAACUACUAAAGCCCUUUGUGAUGCUGUAGAAUUGAUUGGAUAAUACGUACCCAUCUCUGAAGCUGGAUAUCAUUAUGUCUUUGUUCCUGAGAAGAUUGACAGCUCCCUCUGCUGUUCUAAUCAAGAGUGACUUCUACAAACGAGACAUUUUGUCACUCAGAGUAAAUGACAAAAAUGUUCCUUCUGGCACCCUGGAGUCUUGGUCUCUCCAU